rnacentral:rRNA from 1 species
AGCGAACGCUGGCGGCAGGCCUAACACAUGCAAGUCGAACGAACUCUUCGGAGUUAGUGGCGGACGGGUGAGUAACACGUGGGAACGUGCCUUUUGGUUCGGAAUAACUCAGGGAAACUUGUGCUAAUACCGAAUGUGCCCUUCGGGGGAAAGAUUUAUCGCCAUUAGAGCGGCCCGCGUCUGAUUAGCUAGUUGGUGAGGUAACGGCUCACCAAGGCGACGAUCAGUAGCUGGUCUGAGAGGAUGACCAGCCACACUGGGACUGAGACACGGCACAGACUCCUACGGGAGGCAGCAGUGGGGAAUCUUGCGCAAUGGGCGAAAGCCUGACGCAGCCAUGCCGCGUGAAUGAUGAAGGUCUUAGGAUUGUAAAAUUCUUUCACCGGGGACGAUAAUGACGGUACCCGGAGAAGAAGCCCCGGCUAACUUCGUG